rnacentral:rRNA from 1 species
GACGAACGCUGGCGGCGUGCUUAACACAUGCAAGUCGAACGAUGAAGAAAAGAAUCGAAGCUUCGGCAGAAAUUCAUUUCGGAUUAGUGGCGGACGGGUGAGUAACGCGUGAGCAACCUACCUCUUACAAAGGGAUAGCCUCGGGAAACCGGGAUUAAUACCAUAUAACAUUGCGACGAAGCAUUUCGAUGCAAUCAAAGCUACGGCGGUAAGAGAUGGGCUCGCGUCCCAUUAACCGGAUGGUGAGGUAACGGCUCACCAUAGUGACGAUGGGUAACCGGCCUGAGAGGGUGAACGGUCACACUGGAACUGAGACACAGUCCAGACUCCUACGGGAGGCAGCAGUGGGGAAUAUUGCACAAUGGAGGGAAAUCUGAUGCAGCGACGCCGCGUGAGUGAUGAAGGAAUUCGUUUCGUAAAACUCUGUUCUAUGGGAAGAAAAGGACUGUACCAUAGGAGAAAGCUCCGGCUAAAUACGUG